UAUCCUGUCUGAAUAUGGGGGGACCAUCCUCCAAGGCUAAAUACUCCUGACUGACCGAUAGUGAACCAGUACCGUGAGGGAAAGGCGAAAAGAACCCCGGCGAGGGGAGUGAAAAAGAACCUGAAACCGUGUACGUACAAGCAGUGGGAGCACCCUUUGGGGUGUGACUGCGUACCUUUUGUAUAAUGGGUCAGCGACUUAUAUUCUGUAGCAAGGUUAACCGAAUAGGGGAGCCGGAGGGAAACCGAGUCUUAACCGGGCGUUAAGUUGCAGGGUAUAGACCCGAAACCCGGUGAUCUAGCCAUGGGCAGGUUGAAGGUUGGGUAACACUAACUGGAGGACCGAACCGACUAAUGUUGAAAAAUUAGCGGAUGACCUGUGGCUGGGGGUGAAAGGCCAAUCAAACCGGGAGAUAGCUGGUUCUCCCCGAAAGCUAUUUAGGUAGCGCCUCGUGAAUUCAUCUCCGGGGGUAGAGCACUGUUUCGGCUAGGGGGCCAUCCCGGCUUACCAACCCGAUGCAAACUGCGAAUACCGGAGAAUGUUAUCACGGGAGACACACGGCGGGUGCUAACGUCCGUCGUGAAGAGGGAAACAACCCAGACCGCCAGCUAAGGUCCCAAAGUCAUGGUUAAGUGGGAAACGAUGUGGGAAGGCCCAGACAGCCAGGAUGUUGGCUUAGAAGCAGCCAUCAUUUAAAGAAAGCGUAAUAGCUCACUGGUCGAGUCGGCCUGCGCGGAAGAUGUAACGGGGCUAAACCAUGCACCGAAGCUGCGGCAGCGACGCUGAUGCGUUGUUGGGUAGGGGAGCGUUCUGUAAGCCUGCGAAGGUGGCCUGUGAGGGUUGCUGGAGGUAUCAGAAGUGCGAAUGCUGACAUAAGUAACGAUAAAGCGGGUGAAAAGCCCGCUCGCCGGAAGACCAAGGGUUCCUGUCCAACGUUAAUCGGGGCAGGGUGAGUCGACCCCUAAGGCGAGGCCGAAAGGCGUAGUCGAUGGGAAACGGGUUAAUAUUCCCGUACUUGGUGUUACUGCGAAGGGGGGACGGAGAAGGCUAUGUUGGCCGGGCGACGGUUGUCCCGGUUUAAGCGUGUAGGUGUGUGUUCCAGGUAAAUCCGGUU
rnacentral:rRNA from 1 species